rnacentral:tRNA from 1 species
GGUAAAAUGGCUGAGUUUAAGCGAUAAAUUGUAAAUUUAUUAACGAAUAUUAAAUUCUUUUACCACUUAG